CACGCCGUAAACGAUGGAUACUAGCUGUUGGGAGUAAUCUCAGUGGCUAAGCGAAAGUGAUAAGUAUCCCACCUGGGGAGUACGAACGCAAGUUUGAAACUCAAAGGAAUUGACGGGGGCCCGCACAAGCGGUGGAGCAUGUGGUUUAAUUCGAUGAUACGCGAGGAACCUUACCAAGGCUUAAAUGUAGAUUGACCAGUUUGGAAACAGACUUUUCGCAAGACAAUUUACAAGGUGC
rnacentral:rRNA from 1 species